GACGAACGCNGGCGGCGUGCCUAAUACAUGCAAGUAGAACGCACAGUUUAUACCGUAGCUUGCUACACCAUAAACUGUGAGUUGCGAACGGGUGAGUAACGCGUAGGUAACCUGCCUGGUAGCGGGGGAUAACUAUUGGAAACGAUAGCUAAUACCGCAUAAUAUUGAUUAUUGCAUGAUAAUUGAUUGAAAGAUGCAACUGCAUCACUACCAGAUGGACCUGCGUUGUAUUAGCUAGUAGGUGAGGUAACGGCUCACCUAGGCGACGAUACAUAGCCGACCUGAGAGGGUGAUCGGCCACACUGGGACUGAGACACGGCCCAGACUCCUACGGGAGGCAGCAGUAGGGAAUCUUCGGCAAUGGACGAAAGUCUGACCGAGCAACGCCGCGUGAGUGAAGAAGGUUUUCGGAUCGUAAAGCUCUGUUGUAAGAGAAGAACGGGUGUGAGAGNGGAAAGUUCACACNGNGACGGUNUNUNCC
rnacentral:rRNA from 1 species